GAGGGUGUAGCUCAGUUGGUUAGAGCGCUAGAUUGUGGUUCUAGAGGCCGUGGGUUCGAUCCCCACUACCCUCC
rnacentral:tRNA from 1 species